UAAGUCAAUGUUUGAACCUUUGAAUAGGCCUUGAGACAUGACUAGGAUAUUAAAUAAGCCAGCACUUCAUCUGCAGACAGCUGUUUCGGGGUGAUUGCCCCUCAUCAGUGCGGAGCAGAGAAUACUGGCUUAUGUGGGUCAGAGGCCAUGUCAU